UCGAGUAAAGGCGGUGCUCCAGCAUGGCCGCAGACUGAAAUGAGUAAAAGAGUAAAACAGGCUUUACAUUUGACAGAGUAGAGUUGAACCCAUGUGUUAAUAUUAUUGGCAUAAUGACUCUCUCAAGACACUACAAAAUUCUACACUCUGUUUGCCUCAGUUCACCUUAUCUGUCGGAAUCUGGUACCACAUCUAGCUGUGGAUGUUCACAGUCUUUGUGAUUGAAAAUCCAGUUUCCCCUGAAAAUGCUGGUCUUGUGCCAAAAUUUGAAACCAUUAUUAUUAUUAUUAUUAUUAUUAUUAUUGAAGGCGACAAACUGGCAGAAUUGUUAACACACCGGGGAAAAAUGCAUAGCGGUAUUUUACCCGUCGCUGUGUUCCGAGGUCGACUUUGCCUUUCAUCCUUUCGGGGUUGAUUAUAUAAGUACCAGUUAUGCACUGGGGUAAAUGUAAUCAACUAGUCCCUUACCCGAAAAUUUUAGGCUUUGCCCCUGUAGUCGAAAGUAUUAUUACUAUGGAAAGCUGAGCUGGCAGAAUUGCUAGCAUGCCGGGCAAAAUGCCUUAUGGCAUUUCAUCCCUUUACGUUCUGAGUUCAAAUUCCGUCAAAUUCGACUUCAGUUCCUUGUAUCAAGUAUCAAACCCGGUGUUUUGGCAUGGGUCAGUAGCUCAGUUGUCCUUCAGUGGAGUGUGAACACAUUAGCGGCAGCAGCAGUCUUUAUGUAGGAGUAAACAAAUUCGAUGGCGUUGGGUCACAGUUGAGGUUGGAUGGUCAGUGUGGGCAUGCUGUAGUCUAUACAGGUGGCAGGGAGUUAAACGCCCUGCCCUUCUGUGUGGGGAUAGCCAGGACAAGAUGGUAUUUCUAGGUUGUCAACUGCCUACCAUACACAUACACUCAUUUACAUUUAGAAAUGCCAGCAUGGAAAGUACCAGGAGUCUGUUGGUUACAAUGUCGGAGAUUCCAGCUGACCUGAUCAACGGAGCAGCCUGCUUGUGAAAUUAACAUGCAAGCAAUUGGAACAUGUAGCCUUCAUGCAGUUCUCAGAGGUUCUGUGACAAGGCUGGGCGCUUUUGAAUUACCGGUACAACACAUUUUUGUCAGCUGGGUGCACUGGAGCAGCAUGAACUCUAGAAGCAUUUUGCUCAAGGACCCAACUCACUCACUGCUAGGAAUUGAACUCCUGAUUCCAUGCACCUUCACUAAGCAAGGAACAUAGUCUUUUUUUUGUGUGUGUGUAAAGUUGAUGACAGUGUAGCUACUUAAUUUCACAAGUUGAGGAUCAGUGUUAAGGUGUUAAUGGGGGGCCUGGGUAGGGUUAGAUGGUGGGCAGAAUUAAUACUGGUCUUUGAAUCAAUUUUACUCAAAUAUAAUAGGAAAAGAAAACCCCAACACAUGGUGUGUUUAAUAAUCCCUACUUGAAAUCCAGCCCUUUUUUUAUAUGUAUAUAGAUCGCCAGUCUUCAUGCUAUGUUUGUUUCUCCAUAAUGGAGACUUUGUAAAUAAAAUAACAAUAAACCCUUGAAAAUGAA